GCGACAGAGAAAGGAGCUUGCUCCUUCGACGUUAGCGGCGGACGGGUGAGUAACACGUGGGCAACCUACCUUAUAGUUUGGGAUAACUCCGGGAAACCGGGGCUAAUACCGAAUAAUCUAUUUUACUUCAUGGUGAAAUACUGAAAGACGGUUUCGGCUGUCGCUAUAAGAUGGGCCCGCGGCGCAUUAGCUAGUUGGUGAGGUAACGGCUCACCAAGGCGACGAUGCGUAGCCGACCUGAGAGGGUGAUCGGCCACACUGGGACUGAGACACGGCCCAGACUCCUACGGGAGGCAGCAGUAGGGAAUCUUCCACAAUGGGCGAAAGCCUGAUGGAGCAACGCCGCGUGAGUGAAGAAGGUUUUCGGAUCGUAAAACUCUGUUGUAAGGGAAGAACAAGUACAGUAGUAACUGGCUGUACCUUGACGGUACCUUAUUAGAAAGCCACGGCUAACUACGUGCCAGCAGCCGCGGUAAUACGUAGGUGGCAAGCGUUGUCCGGAAUUAUUGGGCGUAAAGCGCGCGCAGGCGGUCCUUUAAGUCUGAUGUGAAAGCCCACGGCUCAACCGUGGAGGGUCAUUGGAAACUGGGGGACUUGAGUGCAGAAGAGGAAAGUGGAAUUCCAAGUGUAGCGGUGAAAUGCGUAGAGAUUUGGAGGAACACCAGUUGGCGAAGGCGACUUUCUGGUCUGUAACUGACGCUGAGGCGCGAAAAGCGUGGGGAGCAAACAGGAUUAGAUACCCCUGGUAGUCCACGCCGUAAACGAUGAGUGCUAAGUGGUUAGGGGGGUUUCCGGCCCCUUAAGUGCUGCAGCUAACGCAUUAAAGCACUCCCGCCUGGGGGGAGUACGGGUCCGCAAGACUUGAAACUCCAAAGGGAAUUUGACGGGGGG
rnacentral:rRNA from 1 species